GAGUUUGAUCCUGGCUCAGGAUGAACGCUAGCUACAGGCUUAACACAUGCAAGUCGAGGGGCAUCAGGAAGAAAGCUUGCUUUCUUUGCUGGCGACCGGCGCACGGGUGAGUAACACGUAUCCAACCUGCCCUUUACUCGGGGAUAGCCUUUCGAAAGAAAGAUUAAUACCCGAUGGCAUAAUGAUUCCGCAUGGUUUCAUUAUUAAAGGAUUCCGGUAAAGGAUGGGGAUGCGUUCCAUUAGGUUGUUGGUGAGGUAACGGCUCACCAAGCCUUCGAUGGAUAGGGGUUCUGAGAGGAAGGUCCCCCACAUUGGAACUGAGACACGGUCCAAACUCCUACGGGAGGCAGCAGUGAGGAAUAUUGGUCAAUGGGCGCUAGCCUGAACCAGCCAAGUAGCGUGAAGGAUGAAGGCUCUAUGGGUCGUAAACUUCUUUUAUAUAAGAAUAAAGUGCAGUAUGUAUACUGUUUUGUAUGUAUUAUAUGAAUAAGGAUCGGCUAACUCCGUGCCAGCAGCCGCGGUAAUACGGAGGAUCCGAGCGUUAUCCGGAUUUAUUGGGUUUAAAGGGAGCGUAGGUGGACUGGUAAGUCAGUUGUGAAAGUUUGCGGCUCAACCGUAAAAUUGCAGUUGAUACUGUCAGUCUUGAGUACAGUAGAGGUGGGCGGAAUUCGUGGUGUAGCGGUGAAAUGCUUAGAUAUCACGAAGAACUCCGAUUGCGAAGGCAGCUCACUGGACUGCAACUGACACUGAUGCUCGAAAGUGUGGGUAUCAAACAGGAUUAGAUACCCUGGUAGUCCACACAGUAAACGAUGAAUACUCGCUGUUUGCGAUAUACAGUAAGCGGCCAAGCGAAAGCAUUAAGUAUUCCACCUGGGGAGUACGCCGGCAACGGUGAAACUCAAAGGAAUUGACGGGGGCCCGCACAAGCGGAGGAACAUGUGGUUUAAUUCGAUGAUACGCGAGGAACCUUACCCGGGCUUAAAUUGCAGUGGAAUGAUGUGGAAACAUGUCAGUGAGCAAUCACCGCUGUGAAGGUGCUGCAUGGUUGUCGUCAGCUCGUGCCGUGAGGUGUCGGCUUAAGUGCCAUAACGAGCGCAACCCUUAUCUUUAGUUACUAACAGGUCAUGCUGAGGACUCUAGAGAGACUGCCGUCGUAAGAUGUGAGGAAGGUGGGGAUGACGUCAAAUCAGCACGGCCCUUACGUCCGGGGCUACACACGUGUUACAAUGGGGGGUACAGAAGGCAGCUAGCGGGUGACCGUAUGCUAAUCCCAAAAGCCUCUCUCAGUUCGGAUCGAAGUCUGCAACCCGACUUCGUGAAGCUGGAUUCGCUAGUAAUCGCGCAUCAGCCACGGCGCGGUGAAUACGUUCCCGGGCCUUGUACACACCGCCCGUCAAGCCAUGGGAGCCGGGGGUACCUGAAGUACGUAACCGCAAGGAUCGUCCUAGGGUAAAACUGGUGACUGGGGCUAAGUCGUAACAAGGUAGCCGUACCGGAAGGUGCGGCUGGAACACC
rnacentral:rRNA from 1 species